UGCCAGCAGCCGCGGUAACACGGAAGGCCCGAGCGUUACUCGGAAUCACUGGGCUUAAAGAGUGCGUAGGCGGACCGUCAAGCAUCUUGUGAAAGCCCGCGGCUUAACCGCGGAACUGCAGGGUGAACUGACGGUCUUGAGGCGGACAGGGGAAGCCGGAACUGUCGGUGGAGCGGUGAAAUGCGUAGAUAUCGACAGGAACGCCAAUGGAGAAGUCAGGCUUCUGGGUCCGUCCUGACGCUGUAGCACGAAAGCGUGGGGAGCAAACAGGAUUAGAUA
rnacentral:rRNA from 1 species